UACGAAGGGGGCUAGCGUUGUUCGGAUUUACUGGGCGUAAAGCGCACGUAGGCGGAUUGUUAAGUCAGGGGUGAAAUCCCGGAGCUCAACUCCGGAACUGCCUUUGAUACUGCAAAUCUCGAGUCCGGAAGAGGUGAGUGGAAUUCCUAGUGUAGAGGUGAAAUUCGUAGAUAUUAGGAAGAACACCAGUGGCGAAGGCGGCUCACUGGUCCGGUACUGACGCUGAGGUGCGAAAGCGUGGGGAGCAAACAGG
rnacentral:rRNA from 1 species